ACCCUCUGGUUUCCUUUCCUGUCAAAUCUGAUCACUAGUCUUGGUAGCUGUGAAAGGAGGGAACCCAAACUCAAACUGGUCUCACAGUGUUGUGGUUUGGCAUAUAGUAUGUGGGCUAGUGUCAAACAGAU
rnacentral:snoRNA from 1 species